rnacentral:sRNA from 1 species
AAACAAAAACAAUUUAAUUGGUUUUAAUGAUCAUAUUAAUUUGAAACUUUUAUUCAUAAUUAUUUAAGAAUCUGAAUAGUAUUUAUAAAAUCAAAUUAUUGGACAAAACUAAAAUGUUUAAAAUCAAUUUGAAAACAAAGUCUAUCUACUUCCGCGUUGAUGGUGACCACUAUGGAAUCUCUUCUUGAACAUAGUCAUCCAUCCCAAAAGCUGACUCCUAUGAGCAGCUGAAACCCAAAUACGAUGGGGUUAUCAAGUGAAUCCUCUUGAGCACCUCUUCAUAUUUAAUCAUGUCGUAUAAGGUAUGAGGUAUCCAUCUGUUGAAAUAUAAAUUUUUAUUAAAUCAAGCAGAAAAAGAGAAAGUUAAAAUCAAUGAUCAUGGGCUAGAAGCAAGCAAGAGAGGCCACACAACCAAUAAUCUGAAACAAUUGUCAAAAACAAAAUCAACUGCGAAAGGAAGGAAGCAACUGAUCAAAUCAAGAAAGAGGUAAGAGACCAACCUUUGUGUGAUAAGACGAAAAUCACCAAGAGCCCGGAGAACUUGAGAGAAAAGAGGGAACAAACUUAGAGCUUGAUGGAGAAGAUUCAAGAGGAUCCAACAUGAAACAGAGUGAAAAGAGAAGAAUUCAACACUAUCACGAUAAGCUUUUCAAUCCCACCAUCAUUGUAAGUCUCGAGUGAACAUAAUAAAUUUCUAGAAAAGAAAAGAAACGAAAGAGAGCCACAAAUAACUCCCAUAUGCUGACGUGUCCAUUAGAAAGAGUAUUUUUGAGAAUGCUGAGUUGGACACUUUGAAAGGCCUCGAUAAGUUCCUUUUAUUAGACUAACAACAAUGGUUUUUUCAUUCAACAUCGUCUACAUCAUCUUCUCCCUCUUCCUCAUCCUUUCCUCUCUCUUCCACAUAAUAAUUCAAUACCAAUUCAAAUUUUAUACUCUACAAUGGUUUCUUUAAUAAAAUUUAACAUCCUACCCCACCAUUUUUAUUUCAUUAUUUUUCU